GUGCUCAAUUUUAGCAGCUCUUACACCAAAAUUAGAACAGUAUAGACAAGAUUAGCAUGGCCACUGUGCAGGAAUAACAUGCAAAUUUGUAAUGCAUUCCAUAUAUUU